UAAAAGAAAGACGUGUUAGAUUAUCCAAUGAAUAUAAAGCUUUGAAAGCAGGAUACAGUAUGUUCCUGAUAUUGCAAAUUAAAAUAAGACGUCGUUAUUCAAUGACAAUGUUGUUAAAGAUUUUAUUCGAUAAGCUUCUCUUUAGGACUAAACGUGUUACCGUUACCCACAUGUAUACGUAUACCUUAACGGAGAGGAAAUGGCAGUGCUUACGCUUAUGGAAAAUGGUUGUUUCUGGACUAGUAGUGCUGCACCAUACGACCAAGUGCUGAGUUUAAUUGACGUUAGCACAUACAAGAACCUAUAAAAUUAAGGAUCUGCCGCGUUUGUGUGUACACUAGCAUAGACAAGAACCUAUUUAAUUGUACGGUUCUACGGAAAAGUUUAUAUCUACCUUUCUACCCAAAAUGGACAAGUAUGAGAAUGACAAAAUCACGCAAUAAUGAAACUAAUUAUAGGUUGCCUAAGAAAGAGAAAUUAAUCGUUUACUAUAUUUUUUAUAGAGCGGAAAUUUCCUCUCAGCGUUUUCGAUUUUGUGUUUUAGUUAUUGACAAUUAAAAAUCGGUCAUAAUAUCCUUGCACGUGGGCAAACCUCCUUACAUGAACGAAAGUAGGUCAGCAUAAGCAGCGGGAUGCACAGUUAAUUUGUUAAAUAUGCUCUUGAAUGUACUAUAGUUGAUUUUAUAAAAAAAGGCAAAGUAUGUGCUAUAGCUUCAUUAUUUGAUAUUAAAUGGAUCUUUCGGAUACAUGAAAGUACAAUCAAGAAUACACGAAUUCGAGUUCAUCGACGAAGAAAACGGAGCUUCUCACCUGUCUUUACCUUUACCUGAUAAGGCAGAUUGCAAUGGGCUUCUUGCUGUGAGAGCUAUUUAUUUCAGAUAAGAAAAUAAUGCAUACAUCUACAUGAUAUAUCUUUUAUUAGGAAGUUCAAAAGAAAAAAUACAUUUGAUAUUACAUUUUUUUUUUUGCUUCACACUAAUAUAAAAUACAGAGGUUUGUAACCGAUUACUAGUAGUGUUUAACGGAAACGAUAAUAAAGAUAAAGAUGGUA